AGAGUUUGAUCCUGGCUCAGGAUGAACGCUGGCGGCGUGCCUAACACAUGCAAGUCGUACGCUUGUAAAAGCGUGGCGAACGGGUGAGUAAUGGCAGGGAACGUGCCUUAUUCCGGGAAAUACCCAGCCGAAAGGCUGGCUAAUGUCCCAUAGUCUCGCAAGAGUAAAGCUCCGGCGGAAUAAGAUCGGCCCUGCUCCUAUCAGCUAGUUGGUGGGGUAAUGGCCUACCAAGGCGACGACGGGUAGCUGGUCUGAGAGGAUGGUCAGCCACAUGGGGACUGAGACACGGCCCUAACACCUACGGGUGGCAGCAGUUGGGAAUAUUGCGCAAUGGACGACAGUCUGACGCAGCGACGCCGCGCGAAGGAAGACGGCCUUCGGGUUGUAAACUUCUUUUUAGGGGACGAUGUGACGGU
rnacentral:rRNA from 1 species